rnacentral:lncRNA from 1 species
UGAGAAUUGUUUGUAUAAUGCUUUUGUUCUGUAUGCAAACACUACUAUUAGGCUUAUUACAUUUUUUCUGCGUGUACCAAGUAAAGUUCCUGGACAUCUUCUUAAAUCCUCCCUGGUCAUUGGCUGCAUCCAGGACCCUUUCAGGAGCCAUCAUGAGGGAGGAUGAGAAACAAACAAAAGAACAGCUGGACAUAGAGCUUCAGCUGCACCCUGAUAGAGGAAAAGCAGAUUGA